rnacentral:misc_RNA from 1 species
AGAGGAGACAUGGAUAGAAAAAGCUAUUUUAAAUUUAUUGCUUUUAACAUGUGUAUUUUCUUAAUAGCGUUUCUUCUUGCGUUUUACCUUACGCCUUCAGUUUAUCAUCGAACUACUCUGCAAUCAAUUAAGGAUUUAGAUGAUACAUUCUUAAAGAAUACGCUUAAUGCCGUCGAUAGAGAUAGAUUAAGAAAUUUCCUUAGAUCCUACGCAUCUAAACCGCAUAUGGCCGGUACGCAAAAGGAUAAAGUAAACGCCGAGAAGUUGUAUAAAUUCUGGAAGGAAUUGGGUUACGAAGCGAAGAUAAUACCAUAUAGGGUUUUGCUAUCGUUUCCCUCGGGGAAUCGAGAAGAGACGAACUUGGUCCGAUUUAAAAAACGAAAUAAUUCCUGGUGGACCAGUCGUGCGCUGGAAAAACAGUUAGAUGGAAUAUCAAACCAAUCUGACCAUAUUGUAAGGCCUUUUAAUGCUUUUUCUGGUUCAGGUAACGUUACUGGAACGCUAGUUUACGUCAAUUAUGGGAGGGAAAUGGACUUUCUAUAUUUAAGAAACAAAUUCAAAGUAGAUUUCCGAGGGAAAAUUGCCGUUGCAAAGUACGGAAAAAUAUUUCGAGGCGAUAAGGCUAAAACCGCUGAAAGAUGGAAUGCGAGUGGUCUAAUUUUAUUUACGGCGCCUAAGGACUACGCUCCUAAAUUUGCCGGCAAGGUAUACCCAGACGGAAUACUAAUGCCAUCUGACGGCGUUCAAAGGGGCUCCCUGAAGCUUGAAGGCGACCUCCUAACCCCCGGUUGGUCGGCAACGGACGAAUCGUUUAACUACAGACUUAACAUAGACGAAGCUCAACUAGUCAAAAUUCCAGUUUUACCAAUCAGCUAUGGAGAUGCUGAGAUUUUAUUGCAAGGCUUUGAGAAGGAAGCAGUUCAGAAGUAUAAUCUAACGUCUGAUUGGGAACACGGAUUAGAAUUUGAAAAUAUAGACGCUUCAGCGUACUAUCGUUACGAAAAAUCGAACGAUUAUACAAAGCAGGUGACGCUUAUUGUAAACGUUACGAAAGAAAUUCGAACGACCUACAACGUUCAUGCGAUACUCGAGGGCAGUAUUGAAACGGACAGGUAUGUUAUCGUCGGUAAUCACAGAGAUGCUUGGAUCUACGGAGCUAUUGACCCGUCUAGCGGAACGGCUGCUCUAUUAGAAAUCUCAGCAAUUUUAGCUAAAGCAAAAAAGGAUGGAUGGUCUCCCAAGAGAACGAUUAUCUUUUGUAGUUGGGCUGCUGAGGAACAAGGCCUAAUUGGUUCAACCGAAUGGGUUGAGCAAUUCUCAAAUAUCAUUUCUGCGCGGGCAGUAGCGUACUUAAACACAGAUAUAGCUGUCUUAGGCACGUCGACAUUAAGAGGAGGCACAUCAUCAGGCCUAAUAAGCAAUGUUUUACUGGAAGCUGCAAAGAGGGUUGAAAAUCCUAAUAAGACAGCAAUAGGUUAUGGUUUGAAGACUGUAUAUGAUUCUUGGAAAAAGUAUAUGCCUGAUAGGGACAAUGCCAAGAGGCCUUACAUCUCUCCUCUCGGUUCUGGAAGCGACUAUCAACCAUUCAUUAAUUAUCUUGGUAUUACUUCUGUUGAUAUUUUCUAUAUGUACGAUCCAGUACGUUCUAUUUUCCUUAUUUUCAUUUAUCCUACGUUCUGACAGCAAUUUAUUUAAGAAUGUCUAUUAUUAAUCCAUUUAGAGUCUUCCGAUUCCCUUCUAUCCACUGUAUCACACAGCUUACGAAACUGUUGAUCUUGUGGAAAGGCUCUACGAUCCCGAAUAUUACUAUCACGAAGCUGUCGUAAGGGUAUGGAUGACCAUGGUAUUAAACUUAUCCGAGUCCACAAUUUUACCUUUCGAUCCUUUUGAAUUUGCCAAUCAAUUAUCGAGGAAUGUGGAAAAUGUUUACACUGCUGCUAAGAAUCUCUCAAGGGACAAAUUAGAGAUGAACUCGGAAGUUGUUAAUGCAACUAGUAAUAUAAAUAUGGAUAUAGCAUGAAACUCUUAUUCAUUUUACUAAAUGUACAGAUGAACUACUUAAAGUUGUCUCUCGGUUUAAAAGCAGGACAGAAUCUUUCAAUUCUCAAUUGAUGGAGCUUCGAAAACAAGGCCAAUCCGGAUUCCUUAACAUUCGAUUAAUUAACGACAAGUUAAUGGCAAUUGAGCGUUUUUUCAUCCUUCGUCAAGGCCUACAAGGUCGUCCAUUAAUGAAGAACAUGCUGCUAUCUCCAAGUAAAUAUAAUACAUAUGGAGCAACGAGUUUACCUGAGCUAUCGGAUGCUCUAUAUGAUAUUCGUUAUGGAGAGAAUAAAGAUUGGGAUGAAUUUCACAAACAAGUCAGUCUUCUAACAGCUUCAAUAAGAGAAGUGGAAUCUUCUUUAAAGAACUCAUCGCUUUUUAUGAACUAGGCAGUUUUUCAUCGGUUUUGCUAUUUUUUUGGAUUUUUUGCAUGAUUUAUAUUUUAAUAAGGAGCAAAAUAAAAAAUAAAAUAUGUAAAUUAAGUCUGAUUAAAAUCAUUAGUGAAGCCUUUGAUAUGUCCCAAUUUUUUUGGAAAAAC